CAGCCACCCCAGGUGUCUGUCCCAGAGCUGCCCCUAAGCCUGACCUCUGAGGGGCCUUGCAGGGAACCCAGCAGCCAGGUGGACUUUUCCAGCUCUGGAUGAAUGUGAACAGGGCCAUGCCUGGGGCCGAGUCAUCGCUUGCUCACCGACCUUCGGGAUCCUCCACCUGAGGGCCAGAAUGCUCUCCGGUGCUCGAGCCCUGUUAGGCAAAGUAGGUAGAGCCCCUUCCUCACCCUCAGACUGCGGCAUAGGACAGCACGAUGCGGGACACCUCAGCCACACUCCCAGGUCACACAGAAUGCACAGCGCAGCUCAGGCUCCAUGCCGGUGUCCAGGCCCGAGCUCUGUGGCUUCCCCUGUCCUCUGUCUGCUCUUCCCCAGGACAGCGGCAGCCACCUGGACCUCCGUGGCCCUGACCACUGGGCUGUGAUGGAGGUGACGCGUGUCACUCUAGGCCACAGCCUGUGAGUGCUGGUGUCUAGCCCUCUGUUCUCUCCUUUCUUCUGGUGGUGGCCACAGAGGCCGUGGCUUGAAAUGGGGAGGCCCCGGGGCUUGGAUGGCCGGGCCAUCACACCAGGCACAGCGUGGUGCCUCACAGACUUCUGUUCACAAACUGCACAGCGCUUCCCAGGGAAGGUGGCACAGGACUGUCCACAACACAGCUGCAAGGCCAGGCCGAGCAUAGCGAGGGUCGGCCCCAGCCCUGGCCUCCUGGUCCUGCUUUCCUCCACCUGCACUGAGCUUGCCCCGUGGCUGUCCCUGUCUCCACCCCAGUGGCCAUGUCCAGAUGGCAGCUGCGGGGCUCUGAA
rnacentral:lncRNA from 1 species